rnacentral:rRNA from 1 species
GGUCAAGCGAUAAAGAGCAUAGGGCGAAUGCCUUGGCACUAGGAGCCGAAGAAGGACGUGAUAAGCUGCGAUAAGCUACGGUAAGGCGCAAAUAGCCAAUAACCCGUAGAUUUCCGAAUGAGGGAACUCAAUUAUGGUAAUGCAUAAUUAUCCUAUGAUGAAUAUAUAGUCAUAGAGAAGGUAACCCGGAGAACUGAAACAUCUAAGUAACCGGAGGAAGAGAAAGAAAAAUCGAUUUUCAAAGUAGCGGCGAGCGAAAUGGAAAGAGCCCAAACCACAGAAGCUGUGGGGUUGUGGACCACCAAAACGAGAAUGAAGCAUAGUCAAAUUGUCUGGAAAGGCAAGACAAAGAGGGUGAAAUCCCCGUAGGCGAAAUGUAGAGUUUUCAGGGUGGCACCAGAGUAGGGCGGGACACGUGAAACCCUGUCUGAAGUAUGGGAGGACCACCUCCUAAGGCUAAAUACUACCUAGUGACCGAUAGAGAACAGUACCGUGAGGGAAAGGUGAAAAGAACCCCGAAAGGGGAGUGAAAUAGAAUCUGAAACCUUAUGCUUACAAGCAGAGGGAGCAAAGAGGGUAGCCUCUAAGUGACCUCGUACUUUUUGUAGAACGGGCCAACGAGUUAUGGUGUGUAGCAAGGUGAAGGCGUGAAGCGCAACAGCCGAAGUGAAAGCGAGCCUUAAUAGGGCGAGAAGUUGCAUGCUGCAGACCCGAAACCGGGUGAUCUAUCCNNNNNNNNNNNNNNNNNNNNNNNNNNNNNNNNNNNNNNNNNNNNNNNNNNNNNNNNNNNNNNNNNNNNNNNNNNNNNNNNNNNNNNNNNNNNNNNNNNNNGGCGAGAAGUUGCAUGCUGUAGACCCGAAACCGGGUGAUCUAUCCAUGUGCAGGUUGAAGCGAGAGUAAAAUCUCGUGGAGGACCGAACCUGUAUCUGUUGAAAAAGGUUAGGAUGACGUGUGGAUAGGGGUGAAAUUCCAAUCGAACUCGGAGAUAGCUGGUUCUCCUCGAAAUAGCUUUAGGGCUAGCCUCAAGAAAAGAUUAACGGAGGUAGAGCACUGAAUGUUUGCGGGACCUUCACCGGUUACCAAAAACUAUCAAACUCCGAAUGCCGUAUAAUUAUACUUGGGAGUCAGACUAUGUGAGAUAAGUUUCAUAGUCGAAAGGGAAACAGCCCAGACCUACAGCUAAGGUCCCAAAAUAUAAGUUAAGUGGAAAAGGAUGUGAAGUUGCACAAACAGCUAGGAUGUUGGCUUAGAAGCAGCCAUACAUUUAAAGAGUGCGUAACAGCUCACUAGUCGAGUGAUUUUGCGCCGAAGAUAAACGGGGCUAAAACUUAUUACCGAAGCUUGGGAAUUUAAAAUAAAUUGGUAGAGGAGCGUCCUAUGUGGGUUGAAGUUGUGCCGGAAGGCAUGGUGGACUGCAUAGGAGUGAGAAUGUUGGCAUGAGUAGCGAGAGACAGGUGAGAAUCCUGUCGGCCGAAAAUCUAAGGUUUCCUGAGCAAGGUUCGUCCGCUCAGGGUUAGUCGGGACCUAAGCUGAGGGCGAAAGCCAUAGGCGAUGGACAACAGGUUGAUAUUCCUGUACCACCGAUAGUCGUUAAGAGUGAAGUGGGGACACAGAAGGAUAGGUUAAGCGUGCCGUUGGUAGAGCACGUACAAGCGUUAAGGUAGUUGCAGCAGGCAAAUCCACUGCAAUAAUACUGAGGCGUUAUGUGGAGGGAAAUUAAGUACCGGAAGUAACUGAUUUCAUGCUGUCAAGAAAAUCCGCUAGCAAGACUAAAGGUGCCCGUACCGCAAACCGACACAGGUAGAUGAGGAGAGAAUCCUAAGGCCAGCGAGAUAACUAUUGUUAAGGAACUCGGCAAAAUAACCCCGUAACUUUGGGAGAAGGGGUACCUACGCAAGUAGGUCGCAGUGAAUAGGCCCAGGCGACUGUUUAGCAAAAACACAGGUCUCUGCAAAAGCGAAAGCUGAAGUAUAGGGGCUGACGCCUGCCCAGUGCUGGAAGGUUAAGGUGAAGUGUAAGGGUAACCGAAGCACAGAACUUAAGCCCCAGUAAACGGCGGCCGUAACUAUAACGGUCCUAAGGUAGCGAAAUUCCUUGUCAGGUAAGUUCUGACCCGCACGAAAGGCGUAACGAUCUGGGCGCUGUCUCAACAAUAGACUCGGUGAAAUUGUAGUACCGGUAAAGAUGCCGGUUACCCGCAGCAGGACGGAAAGACCCCGUGGAGCUUUACUGUAACUUGAUAUUGAGUUUCGGUGUUAUGCGUACAGGAUAGGUGGGAGACUAAGAAUCUGGAGCGCCAGUUUUAGAGGAGUCAAUGUUGGGAUACCACCCUUGUAGCAUUGGAAUUCUAACCCGGUAGCAUCAUCUGCUACGGGGACAGUGUCUGGUGGACAGUUUGACUGGGGCGGUCGCCUCCUAAAGAGUAACGGAGGCGCCCAAAGGUUCCCUCAGCGCGGACGGAAAUCGCGCAUAGAGUGCAAAGGCAGAAGGGAGCUUGACUGCGAGACCAACAAGUCGAGCAGGGACGAAAGUCGGGCUUAGUGAUCCGGUGGCAUCCGAGUGGAAGGGCCAUCGCUCAACGGAUAAAAGCUACCCCGGGGAUAACAGGCUGAUACCGCCCAAGAGUUCACAUCGACGGCGGUGUUUGGCACCUCGAUGUCGGCUCGUCUCAUCCUGGGGCUGGAGUAGGUCCCAAGGGUUGGGCUGUUCGCCCAUUAAAGAGGUACGCGAGCUGGGUUCAGAACGUCGGGAGACAGUUCGGUCCCUAUCCGCUGUGGGCGUUGGAAAUUUGAGUGGAGCUGUUCCUAGUACGAGAGGACCGGAAUGGACAUACCUAUGGUGUACCGGUUGUUCUGCCAAGGGCAUAGCCGGGUAGCUAAGUAUGGAAAGGAUAAGCGCUGAAAGCAUCUAAGUGCGAAGCCAACCACAAGAUAAGAUUUCCUCCAGCAAUGGUAAGACCCGUGAGAGACUAUCACGUUGAUAGGUCGGAGGUGUAAGUGCAGUAAUGUAUUUAGCUGACCGAUACUAAUAGGUCGAACGCUUGACCAA